rnacentral:rRNA from 1 species
AACUGGGAUUAGAUACCCCACUAUGCCUAGCUGUAAACCCUGGUAGAAUAUAACAGUCUACCCGCCCGAGUACUACGAGUAAGUAACUUGAAACUCAAAAGACCUGGCGGUACUUUAUAACCCCUAGAGGAGCCUGUUCUA